UGAGGUUUAUAUACGAGAACGUGAUUAUUGACUUCCUGAAAAGUAGUUGAAACGAUACCAUUUAAGGUAAAGUAUGUAUUAGUGAGUACUGUUUAAAGAUUUUCAGUUUUUCACAAGCAAGCCGAGUAUGCUUGAGUUUUAUGAAAGAUAAAGAUAAGCAGGCAUGUUUUAAUAUUUUCAUGUGGUUUUCUGAGACUUUUAUUGACUACAUGACUGAAAUAUUGAGCCCGAGGCUAUAUGGUACCAUGUGCACACAGGUUCUAUUUUGUUGUUGACGUUGAGUGUACUCCCUGACAACGAUGCUGUUGGGAGUGUUGGGCGGGCCCCACUAUGACAAAGACGAUGGGAGUGCUGGGCGAGCCCUACUACAUCGUAGAGCUAGUAAACAUUGGUAGAGAUCGAGCUCCCGGUGCCUGAUAACUGCCAAAGUCUGUUUUCUCCUAAAAGCUUCCAGAUCAAGCUUCAUACGUGGGUGGAAUUGUACAUUGUGUUUGUUUAUAUUGUAAAUGUCUUUGUAAGAACUGGAUAGUUUAUGGUUGUGUAAGCACUAGAUGUCGUGGUUGUGUAAACCCCAGUUGGAUAUGUUUUUGGUUGUGAUAUCUCUAUCAGGUUAUUUUCCAAA